rnacentral:rRNA from 1 species
GACGAACGCUGGCGGCGGGCCUAAUACAUGCAAGUAGGACGCAGUUGCGAACGGGUGAGUAACGAGUAGGUAACUGCCUAUUAGAGGGGGAUAACUAUUGGAAACGAUAGCGAAUACCGCAUAAGAGUAGAUGGAAGUGCGUUGAAUUAGCUAGUAGGUAGGUGAAUGGCCUACCUAGGCAAAGAUACAUAGCCGACCUGAGAUGGUGAUCGGCCACACUGGUACUGGUGCCCGGCCCAGACUCCUUCGGGGGGCAGCAGUAGGGGAUCUUCGGCAGUUGGGGGCACCCUUGCCUAGCCACUCCGCGUUAGUUAAGAAGGUUUUCGGAUCGUACAGCCCUGUUGUUAAGGAAGCGUUACUUAACCACAAAGGGCCGGCUAACUACGUGCCAGCCGCCGCGGUAAUAC